CAAUAGCGUAUAUUUAAGUUGUUGCAGUUAAAAAGCUCGUAGUCGGAUUUUGGCUGAGAACGAUCGGUCCGCCGUUAGGUGUGCACUGAUUGGUCUCAGCUUCCUGGUGAGGAGGUGUGCUUCACGGCCACUUAGUCACCGUGGUUACUUUGAAAAAAUUAGAGUGUUCAAAGCGGGCUUACGCUUGAAUAUAUUAGCAUGGAAUAACACCAUAGGACUCCUGUCCUAUUUCGUUGGUCUCGGGACGGGAGUAAUGAUUAAGAGGAACAGUUGGGGGCAUUCGUAUUUCAUUGUCAGAGGUGAAAUUCUUGGAUUUAUGAAAGACGAACUUCUGCGAAAGCAUUUGCCAAGGAUGUUUUCAUUGAU
rnacentral:rRNA from 1 species